GGUCGUAUCCCCAAACCCUAGCCUCAUUCUCACCCGACGCACACACAGCAAGCAGCCGCCGCUCUUCAUGGCCCAACGCCGGUGCCGUAGCAUGCGCCACGGAGAAGGUGAGGGCGCUGCUACACCACCCUCGCCGGUGUUCACGCGCAGCGAGUGGAAACAUGGCGGGGGCAGAUAACGCACGCACGCGAGGAGGAAAUCCACGGCGGUGGCGCUCGUUGCUUCUUCGGCGGCGAGGUCGCACAAGGCACGAGAACCGAUAGCCGAGACGCCUAGCCUCCCAGAAAUACCUGCUGGCUCAUAGUGAAGACCCUCGCCUGCUCGAUGCAGACGUGUACGGAUGUCGUAGAGGUAGAGGAUGUCGGACGCCGUCUUAGGGAUGGCCAGCGGUCGGACGCAGGACUUCAGGGACACUCCCAAGCAACCCUAAACGAGUUAGGGAAGACCGCAUGCGCCGGGUCCGCGUGCGAGCUGGCCAGAGGGCGAAGACUGGGGUUUUGGCUUUCCUUGUGGGAAGAAUGGCGGUUUACUGUUCCUUCUGUAUACAACAAGAUAGAAUAGGGCUCCUGAUUUUAUUUCCAAAAAAACUCGAUUUUAUUAACUUUCCAUUCCGUUUGUUAAUUACUCUCUAUUUUUGAACUUGGUACUCAUAUAUUUUUAUAUUUUUAAACUUUAUUCAUUCAACUGUCAGCUUAACAUUUCCACUGAGUUCAAAUGUCAUCACUAAUUUGCUUAAAGUUUGACAUUUUCCAAUGGAUAAAGCUAAAGUUGCUCUCUCUCUCUCUCUCAAAUUUGUCAUGUGUCUAGUUAUUUUCUCUUUUGUUUGCUCGUAUUACGGUAUGUUCCAUUAUAUCUGUAGCUAAUAGAGUAAAUCAUAUUGAAUGCUACUUCUUCUCUGAUCUGUAGUUUUGCUUGUAGUUUUUUCACCUUUUUCAUAUACUGAGUAAGGCUUUUCUAUAUGUCAGUUUCUUUAAAUGCCUAUGAUGAUUAUAAAAUUGGUUCAAUAACUUGAAUGCCAUGAGCUUGUGAGGUACUGGACGGGUGCUUCUUUAUGUGUUUUGUAGUUGUCAUGAUUGUCAUCAAACCGUGAGACACGUCCAUUCCCAAUUAACACCUUGCUUAUGAUGAGGUGAUGGCUGGGAUGGACGUGUCUCACGCUUCCAUGGCUGUCACGAUCUUGGUUUGCUUCUAUCUGUUUGUUUCUUAUGCUCGGAGAUCAUGGCAUUGAAAAAAUGAUAAUAAAUCUGAGGCGAAUUGACUUGGAAAUGACAUGUACCCUUGUGAAUCUAUUAUGUCUAGUUUUAGAUUAGCCUGCUGAUCUCAUCGAAUAGGCAUAUCUAGUAGAUAACUUUUAUAUUGAUAUUAGUAUUAUGAGUAUCACUUGUUUGUAUUGGAAGUAGUUACUUUGUGGCAUUUUCCCUCACUUUGUGUUUCGACAGCGUGCCCCCAAGAAGCAAUUGGCUGCACCAAGAAAAAAUCAUUACUUGCUUGGAGGCGCAGGAUAAGUGAAAAUAUUUUUUCCACGUUGGCGGAGGCCCAUGGCUUUGCCAUUCCGUUUUAUCGACGGCUUGGUUGUCGUGUAAGGACGUCGGGCAACAGGCUCCCACCACCAAAGUGAGGGAGCAGUGCACAACCUCUCCCUUCUGCCCUUUUCUGGUUGCCUAAUACAUACUGAGCCAUACAGUUGACGUCCGGGAACUCCUUGUAGGCCUGACAGCACGUCUGCAGAAUGCCAGGAAAUUUCGUGGCAGAUGAAUCCCGAGCGACCGAGCCUGGAGAUAAAUUGCAGAGAUGAAUUGCACAGAUUGCUCACCUCGUCGUUGGAGGUAAAAAAUACAAGAGGGGACUUACAACAGCUGCAGGCAAAUAACAGAUGAAAUCAGGUGUCUGACGGCCAGACAGCAUGAGGAGGUAUGAAUUUGUAGGUGAGGGCACGGUCAAGUCUAGAGAAUGUGCGUGAUAGGCGGCGCGGGAUGAUCGUGUAUUUAUAUAUGGUUUGCCUUCUUGAUUUGCUAUGGAAUUGAUUAUUGUAUUCCUAAUUUAUAUGACACUGAAAGAGGUAGCUUUAUAAUUUACAGUAAUUCAUUAUUGCUUUCCUGCAUUCUGAGAAGGCAAAAUGUGACGCAUCACAUGGAAUGUGGAUUAAUUUUUGCCUUCCUUAUUUGUUGCGACUGAUUGGCUAUAGAAUUGAUUUUUGUAUUCCUAAUUUGUAUGACACCGAGAGAGAGCUUUUUGAUUUCCACUAAUUCAGUAUUGCCUUUCUGCUUUUGAGAGAACGUGUGGCACAUCACAUGGAACUAUGUAUUAAUUUUUCCCUUCCUUAUUUCA